rnacentral:rRNA from 1 species
GACGAACGCUGGCGGCGUGCCUAAUACAUGCAAGUAGAACGCUGAAGGAGGAGCUUGCUUCUCUGGAUGAGUUGCGAACGGGUGAGUAACGCGUAGGUAACCUGCCUGGUAGCGGGGGAUAACUAUUGGAAACGAUAGCUAAUACCGCAUAAUAGUAGAUGUUGCAUGACAUUUGCUUGAAAGUUGCAUUUGCAUCGAUACCACGUGGUCUUGCGUUGUAUUAGCUAGUUGGUGGGGUAACGGCGUACCAAGGCGACGAUACAUAGCCGACCUGGGCGGGUGAUCGGCCACACUGGGACUGGGACACGGCCCAGGCUACUACGGGAGGGAGCAGUAGGGAAUGUUCGGCAAUGGACGGAAGUCUGACAGAGCAACGCCGCGUGAGAGGAGAAGGCUCUCGGUUCGGAAAGCUCUGUUGUAAGAGAAGAACGAGUGUGAGAGUGGAAAGUUCACACUGUGACGGUAUCUUACCAGAAAGGGACGGCUAACUACGUG